GAUGAACGCUGGCGGCGUGCUUAACACAUGCAAGUCGAACGAUGAAGCCCAGCUUGCUGGGUGGGUUAGUGGCGAACGGGUGAGUAACACGUGAGUAACCUGCCCUUAACUCUGGGAUAAGCCGGGGAAACUGGGUUAAUUACGCGAUAUCUGCGUCCACGGAAGGGGGGGUUUUGGAAAGAUUGAUCGGUUUUGGAUGGCCUCGCGGCCUAUCAGCUUUUUGGUGGGGUAAGGGCUCACGAAGGCGACGACGGGUAGCCCGCCUGAGAGGGUGACCGGGCACACUGGGACUGAGACACGGACCAGACUCCUACGGGAGGCAGUAGUGGGGACUCUUGCACAAUGGGCGCAAGCCUGAUGAAGCGACGCCGGGUGAGGGAAGACGGCCUUCGGGUUGAAAACCUCUUUAAGUUAAGACGAAGCGAAAGUGACGGUACCUGAAGAAGAAGCACCGGCUAACUACGUG
rnacentral:rRNA from 1 species